AAGAUUUUAAGUUAUUUAAACUGUGUACCUUCAAAGUAUAAAAUAAUUUUUUAAUUAAAUCUUA
rnacentral:tRNA from 1 species